rnacentral:rRNA from 1 species
GUUGAACGCUGGCGGCAGGCCUAACACAUGCAAGUCGAGCGAAUAAAGGGAGCUUGCUCCUGGAUUCAGCGGGGGACGGGUGGGUAAUGCCUAGGAAGCUGCCUUGUAUUUGGGGAUAACGUCCGGAAACGGGCGCUAAUACCGCAUACGUCCUGAGGGUGAAAGGGGGGGAUCUUCGGACCUCACGCUAUCUGCUGAGCCUAGGUCGGAUUAGCUAGUCGGUGGGGUAACGGGCUACCAAGGCGCCGAUCCGUAACUGACCUGAGAGGAUGAUCAGACACACUGGAACUGAGACACGGUCCAGACUCCUACGGGAGGCAGCAGUGGGGAAUAUUGGACAAAGGGCGAAAGCCUGAUGCAGCCACGCCGCGUGUGUGACGAAGGUCUUCGGAUUGUAAAGCACUUUAAGUUGGGAGGAACGGCUGUAAGUUAAAACCUUCCCGUUUUGACGUUACCAACAGAAUAAGCCCCGGCUAACUUCGUG